rnacentral:lncRNA from 1 species
AUGAUGGUGGCCGCUCCUUUCAAGCUUGGACCUAAUUUGCAGGUCCAGAGGCAAGUGGAGUGCUGUUUUGAAAGGGUUGAAAUGCAGUUCGCAGUGCAGGAUGUCUCGACCCGAGCUGCCUCUGCAGUGACUCUGGUGGUGUGGAUGAUACUGGCUGCACUGUUGGAGCUUGGACUCGGAGAGGAACACGUGAGCACAAUCGUAUGUUGCAUCAGCAGUAGUCAGCAUUGUGGAGAAGGUGAGCAAUGGGGCUGGCGUGCUAGUGAAUGCUGUUUCUCUGUUUUUGCAGCUGAUGAUGAGCCUUCAAUUGACUAAGAUGACAAACGGUGCCUGUGUAUUUCUUGAGGCAGAAGGAAUUUACCAUGCAGCAACCUGAGAGCUAAGUUGGGGGCACCUGGUAUGUGCAUAUCUGGGGAGGCUAAUGGGAGCUGGGAGCGAGAGCAGCAUGGAGCCAGCUGGCUGAAUAGACUUGGUGCCACUGUGAGGGUGGUUGAGGCUGGGUCACGUUCAGGGUGCUUGUGGCUGGGUCACCAGGCUAAUAGAAGAGGCAGGAUUAUUUUGUAGUGUGAGUGCGUGCACCCGGCAGGACAGUUUCCUUCAGUUUGUCUGUCUUGUGGUGUUGCUUCUGCAGUGUCUGUUCUGUGCUUCUCGGGUCUUGAUAUCCUCUUGGCUUUUUAGAUUGGACUGACUAGAC